rnacentral:misc_RNA from 1 species
GAUGAAGAACGUAGCGAAAUGCGAUACUUGGUGUGAAUUGCAGAAUCCCGUGAACCAUCGAGUCUUUGAACGCAAGUUGCGCCCGAAGCCAUUAGGCCGAGGGCACGCCUGCCUGGGCGUCACACGUCGUUGCCCCCCCAUCUACUCCUUCGGGAUUGCGGGGGGCGGAUGAUGGCCUCCCGUGCGCCUCGUCGCGCGGUUGGCCUAAAUGCCAAGUCCUCGGCGACGCACGCCACGACAAUCGGUGGUUGCGAAACCUCGGUUGCCUGUCGUGUGCGGCCGACGCGCAUCGAGGGCUCGAAAAAAUUGCCGGGCUUCGGCUCGACUUUCAACGCGACCCCAGGUCAGGCGGGGUUACCCGCUGAAUUUAAGCAUAUCAAUAAGCGGAGGA